rnacentral:rRNA from 1 species
ACGUGAUUACCCGCUGAACUUAAGCAUAUCACUAAGCGGAGGAAAAGAAACUAACAAGGAUUCCCUUAGUAACGGCGAGUGAACAGGGAUAAGCCCAGCACCGAAGCCUGUGGCCGUUUGGCCCCUAGGCAAUGUGGUGUUCAGGUUAGCUCGCGGGGAUGCUGCUCCACCCUAAGUCCUAUAAUGAGUAAGGUUACUCGGACAUGGCCCACAGAGGGUGAAAGGCCCGUGGGGGUGGAGAGUCAGAUUGGCCAGUAUCUCCCUGAGCAGACCUUGGAGUCGGGUUGUUUGUGAAUGCAGCCCAAAGCGGGUGGUAAACUCCAUCCAAGGCUAAAUACUUGCACGAGUCCGAUAGCGAACAAGUACCGUGAGGGAAAGUUGAAAAGUACUUUGAAGAGAGAGUAAACAGUGCGUGAAACCGCUCAGAGGUAAACGGGUGGAGUUGAACUGCAAGCUCUGAGGAUUCAGCUGGUGAGUUUGGCAUGAGCUUGGUCAUGUGGGUUGUGUGUUCGGGUCUGCUUAGCUGCAGGUCCUCGCCUUUGGUGGGGAUGCGCGUAUCGCUUAUCAAGCGUUGUGCGCCCGUUCUUGUCGGACCUGCUUGUCAGUGCACUUUCUCAG